CCACGUAUCGCCCGUCCUUAGCUGAAUCUCUAAGCCAGCUUCCGCUGCAGUUUACUGUCAAUGUGGACUCACACAGUGCCCCUUCAUGCCUCGAAGGGGAUUACUUCCCCGUGUACGUGGCACCAACUCCGAGAAACGGAGUGAAUCUUCCUGCGUUCGUCAACCAAACCCUGGAAAUCAAAGUCAAAGCCAAAGCAGUAUACACCACGAUAAGACGCCUGAUUAUCACUGGACCAGCGGGCAUUUCAAAGCGGCAAAUCUCUUCAGAAGAAUACGUCAUAGAGUGGAAUCCAACUGAAAACCAACUGAAUGAUCAUUUUGCUAUUUGCUUUCUUUUUGAAGCAACGGACAGGUUUGGCCGAGUCUAUCAGUCCGAGCUACGCUGUGUGAUUGCUGACGUUGGACAUCACGAGACCAUGGUGACAUGCAAUCAGACAACAAUAACGG